rnacentral:lncRNA from 1 species
GACUGAGAAAGACAUCUUUCUUUCCACCCUUCAAUCUGUUGUGAUAUCGGCCAAUUAUGUAUGUCAAGGAACCCCAAAAUAACACAGCAAACCAAGAGAAACAACCACAGAGAUAAGACACAAAGAACACAGAUUUAAGGUGGUUCAGCAAAUCUUUUGCCUACGUCCACCAGUAGAAAACACUUCCACUAUAUUAAUAAUGGGUACACGAGAAAGAAUAAGAAAACAAGGACUCUUUCACUUCGGCCAAUUAUGUUUGUCAAGGAACCCCAAAAGAACACAGCAAACCAAGAGAAACAACCACAAAGAUAAGACACAAAGAACACAGAUUUAAGAUGGUUCAGCAAAACUUUUGCCUACGUCUACCGGCAAAAAACACUUCCACUACAUUAAUAAUGGGUACACAAGAAAUAAUAAGAAAACAAGGACUCUCUCACUUCUCUUCCUAUCUCUCUCCUCCCUGCCCUCUCUCAUCCUCUAACCGAGAAUGGAACACACUUUGGUCUUUGUCUCUGCGAUACCUAGAACUGAACCUCUCCUUAUAUAGCCAUAAGGAUCUUCAGAUCUCUUCACCAAACAGGAAAUCCUAUUCCUAUUAGUGGUAGGCAAUAAUGCCUCCUUCCUUCUCUGUAAUCAACAAGAUUACAGGUACACCAUCAUCAAUAAGGAUUUACUUUCCUUAUUGGAACACCAUACUCUAAGAUGAAACAUCUUAGGAAAAACACAUGGGCUGGAAACCCAACAAUCUCCCCCUCCAGACCAUGAGGGAGGACCACCGGCGCGACUCCAUUACUAGGAGUCCGCCCAAGCUGACUUGAUGCAGAAUUACGUGGUUGGAGCGUGUAGCUCCCCCUGAUCAGGCUCCCCCUGAUCGAACAACUCAUCACCAUGUCCCCAGUGGUGGAACAACUCUUGACCAUCUUCUUCAUGGUCAGAACAACCAUUGGAAAAGGAAAUUUGGGACAUCUUUUCCAGAACGCCUUUCUUCCUUAUAUGGUCAUCACUCUGGUGCCAUAUGCCCGAAGAAGUAUCACCCAUUGCACUCAAGUCAUCUUUGUACACCAAGCUAUGUGUCUUGUACAAGGAACAACACAGACCUCCUCUAGCAACCUCCAACGACCCAUUCAUAAGCUUCCACUUUCCAUCACCAUUAUACUGGUGAAAUCCUUGUCUGUCAAGAGCACUUGCAGACAGUAUGUUGACACGCAAAUCAGAAACGUGCCUCACAUCCUUCAAUGUCAUAUGGUAACCAAGAUCAGUCUCAAUGCAAAUGUCUCCCAUUCCCGAAAUCUUGGACCAACCUCUAUUACCCAUCUUCAAUAUCCCAAAGUCGCUUGCUUCGUAUGUAGUAAAGAGCUCCAAGUUGGAAGUAACAUGACAACUUGCCCCGGUAUCCACGAACCAAUCAUGACCCUUGUCACCAACAUACAGACAUUCUUGAACAGUGAGAAGCUCCCCCGAGACAGUAGCAGUAAAGCCAUUAUCUUCAUCAUCUUGGUAGUUGCCCUUCUUUUUGUCUUGUUUCCACUUUCGACACAUCCGCUUUAUGUGGCCCUUCUCGCCACAGUAGUGACAUGUGCCACUAAACCUUAGACCUGAAUUCUUGUCUAUACCUUUUACAGCAAGGGCUCUUUCGUGCCCAUCGUCUAUGCCAACAGCUUUUCUCCUUGUUUCUUCGUUAAGCAUGUUGUUCUUAACGGUAUCCAUAGACAAUACACCAUCAGACGCAGAAUUAGUCAAGGUCACCACGAAAGUCUCCCAACUGUCCGGCAAAGUCCCUAGCAAGAAAAAUGCUAGUAUCUCAUCGCCAAUCUUCAUACCCAUUGUCGCCAACUGAUUGGUCACAUUCUGGAAAUCAUUCAAGUGUACAGCAACACUUUUAUCCUCAUUGAACUUCAUGUUGAUCAUCUCUUUGAAAAGGAAAGCUUUCUUUGCAGCGGUCUUCUUCUCAAAGAGGGAUUCCAAUUUCUUCCAGAGUUCUUCCGCAUCAGUUUCUUCCGACACAUGGUGAAAGACAGAAUCAUCUACCCAUUGUCUUAUCGUGCCAACAGUUUUCCGGUGCAACUUUCGCCACUUGUCAUCCGCCAUAUCUACAGGCUUGCCAGCCACACCUUCAAUAGGCUCAUGCAUAUCCUUACAAUAAAGGAUAUCCUCCAUUCUUGGCUUCCACAUCACCCAAUUCGUGUGGGUGAGUUUGAUCAUUGUGCCUUUGUCUUCACUCAUCUUGACAACACCAAACCUGCUGAAUCAAACCUUGGAUCUACAGACUAACCCCGCUCUGAUACCACUGUUGUGAUAUCGGCCAAUUAUGUAUGUCAAGGAACCCCAAAAGAACACAGCAAACCAAGAGAAACAACCAUAGAGAUAAGACACAAAGAACACAGAUUUAAGGUGGUUUAGCAAAACUUUUGCCUACGUCCACCGGCAGAAAACACUUCCACUAUAUUAAUAAUGGGUACACCAGAAAGAAUAAGAAAACAAGGACUCUCUCACUUCUCUUCCUAUCUCUCUCCUCUCUACCUUCUCUCCUCUCUGCCCUCUCUCACCCUCUAACCGAGAAUGGAACACACUUUGGUCUUUGUCUCUGCGAUACAAAACCUAGAACUGAACCUCUCCUUAUAUAGCCAUAAGGAUCUUCAGAUCUCUUCACCAAACAGGAAAUCCUAUUCCUAUUAGUGGUAGACAAUAAUGCCUCAUUCCUUCUCGGUAAUCAACAAGAUUACAGGUACACCAUCAUCAAUAAGGAUUUACUUUCCUUAUUGGAACACCAUACUCUAAGACGAAACAUCUUAGGAAAAACACAUGGGCUGGAAACCCAACACGAUCUUCCUCCCAAUUCUUUCCUUGAUAUAGACCAAGGCUUCCUUUUUGGACCUCCC